rnacentral:rRNA from 1 species
CCCGGCCGGGCCCGCGCCCGUCCCGCCCGCCCCGCCCCCUACGGGAGGCAGCAGGGGGGAAUUUUGGACAAUGGGGGCAACCCUGAUCCAGCCAUUCCGCGUGAGUGAAGAAGGCCUUYGGGUUGUAAAGCUCUUUCGCAAGGGAAGAAAACUUAUGAUCGAAUAMAUCRUGAGGUUGACGGUACCUUGAUAAGAAGCACCGGCUAACUACGUGCCAGCAGCCGCGGUAAUACGUAGGGUGCGAGCGUUAAUCGGAAUUACUGGGCGUAAAGCGUGCGCAGGCGGUUUUGUAAGUCGGAUGUGAAAUCCCCGGGCUCAACCUGGGAACUGCGUUCGAAACUGCAAGGCUAGAGUGUGUCAGAGGGGGGUAGAAUUCCACGUGUAGCAGUGAAAUGCGUAGAGAUGUGGAGGAAUACCAAUGGCGAAGGCAGCCCCCUGGGAUAACACUGACGCUCAUGCACGAAAGCGUGGGGAGCAAACAAGAUUAGAAACCCCGGUAUCCAAAAAUUCC